rnacentral:rRNA from 1 species
AACGAACGCUGGCGGCAGGCCUAACACAUGCAAGUCGAGCGCGCCCUUCGGGGUGAGCGGCGGACGGGUGAGUAACGCGUGGGAACGUGCCCUUUUCUACGGAAUAGCCUCGGGAAACUGAGAGUAAUACCGUAUACGCCCUUUGGGGGAAAAAUUUAUCGGAAAAGGAUCGGCCCGCGUUGGAUUAGGUAGUUGGUGGGGUAAUGGCCUACCAAGCCGACGAUCCAUAGCUGGUUUGAGAGGAUGAUCAGCCACACUGGGACUGAGACACGGCCCAGACUCCUACGGGAGGCAGCAGUGGGGAAUCUUAGACAAUGGGGGCAACCCUGAUCUAGCCAUGCCGCGUGAGUGAUGAAGGCCUUAGGGUUGUAAAGCUCUUUCAGCUGGGAAGAUAAUGACGGUACCAGCAGAAGAAGCCCCGGCUAACUCCGUG